UCCAAUCGAACUCGGAGAUAGCUGGUUCUCCCCGAAAUAGCUUUAGGGCUAGCGUUAUUUUAGAUUACCGGAGGUAAAGCACUGAAUGGUCUAGGGGCCGCGAGGUUACCAAAGCCUAUCAAACUCUGAAUGCCGGAUAAUUGAUGAAUAGCAGUCAGACUGUGUGAGAUAAGUCUCAUAGUCAAAAGGGAAACAGCCCAGAUCUACAGCUAAGGUCCCAAAUGAACACUAAGUGGAAAAUGAUGUGAAACUGCGAAGACAACCAGGAUGUUGGCUUAGAAGCAGCCACUCAUUCAAAGAGUGCGUAAUAGCUCACUGGUCGAGUGGUUUUGCGCAGAAAAUGUAACGGGGCUAAGUGUUCAACCGAAGCUUAGGCAUUGCAGCAAUGCAUUGGGUAGGGGAGCGUCGUAUGCGGGGUGAAGUCAGAGCGGAAGCACUGGUGGACUGCAUACGAGUGAGAAUGCCGGAAUAAGUAGCGAGAAUUAUGUGAGAAUCAUAAUGGCCGAAAAUCUAAGGUUUCUUGGGGAAGGUUCGUCCGCCCAAGGUUAGUCGGGAGCUAAGCUCAGGCCGAAAGGCGUAGGCGAUGCACAUACGGUAGAAAUUCCGUAACCACCGAACAUUUAAGCUAGAGGGACGCUUUCUUUAAGGUUAUCCCGGGCGAUGGUUGCCCCGGGCGUAAGGGACCGAAAUAUAGUAGGGAAGUAACUGGCGAGAGAGACGAGAAAAGCUCUGGUGUAUACUAAGGUGCCCGUACCGCAAACCGACACAGGUAGAUGGGAUGAGUAUUCUAAGGCCAACGGGAGAAGGGUUGUUAAGGAACUCGGCAAAUUGGCCCCGUAACUUCGGGAUAAGGGGCGCCUGCGAGAGCAGGCCGCAGUGAAAAGGCCCAAGCGACUGUUUAGCAAAAACACAGCUCUCUGCUAAAUCGAAAGAUGACGUAUAGGGGGUGACGCCUGCCCGGUGCUGGAAGGUUAAGGGGAGUGCUUAGCGCAAGCGAAGGUGCGAACUUAAGCCCCAGUAAACGGCGGCCGUAACUAUAACGGUCCUAAGGUAGCGAAAUUCCUUGUCAGGUAAGUUCUGACCCGCACGAAUGGCGUAACGAUUUGGGCACUGUCUCAACAGCCCGCCCGGCGAAAUUGUAGUACCGGUGAAGAUGCCGGUUUCCCGCAACUAGACGGAAAGACCCCAUGGAGCUUCACUGUAGCUUGAUAUUGGAUCUCGGUAUUCCAUGUACAGGAUAGGUGGGAGGCUAGGAAGCGAGCGCGCCAGCGUUCGUGGAGCCAACCUUGGGAUACCACUCUUGGGAUAUUGGGAUUCUAACCUGCGACCAUGAAUCUGGUCGGGGGACACUGUCAGGUGGGCAGUUUGACUGGGGCGGUCGCCUCCAAAAGAGUAACGGAGGCGCUCAAAGGUUCGUUCAGCACGGAUGGAAAUCGUGCACUGAGUGUAAACGCAUAAACGAGCCUAACUGCGAGAAUGACGGUUCGAGCAGUAACGAAAGUUGGAGUUAGUGAUCCGGCGGUAUGUGAAUGGAAAUGCCGUCGCUCAACGGAUAAAAGCUACCCUGGGGAUAACAGGCUGAUCUCCCCCAAGAGUCCACAUCGACGGGGAGGUUUGGCACCUCGAUGUCGGCUCAUCGCAUCCUGGGGCUGAAUUCGGUCCCAAGGGUUUGGCUGUUCGCCAAUUAAAGCGGUACGCGAGCUGGGUUCAGAACGUCGUGAGACAGUUCGGUCCCUAUCUGUUGCGGGCGUAGGAAUAUUGAGAGGAGCUGUCCUUAGUACGAGAGGACCGGGAUGGACGUACCGCUGGUGCACCAGUUGUUCUGCCAAGGGCAUAGCUGGGUAGCUAAGUACGGACGAGAUAAACGCUGAAGGCAUCUAAGCGUGAAACUCCCCUCGAGAUAAGUGUUCCCAUCCUUCGGGAGUAAGGCCCCUUGUAGACUACAAGGUUGAUAGGUCAGGAGUGGAAGUGCAGUAAUGUAUGGAGCGGACUGAUACUAAUAGGCCGAGGGCUUGACCUU
rnacentral:rRNA from 1 species